rnacentral:rRNA from 1 species
UAAGGAAUAUUGGGCAAUGGACGCAAGUCUGAUCCAGCAAUGCCGUGUGCAGGACGAAGGCCUUCGGGUUGUAAACUGCUUUUGUACGGAGCGAAAAGCUUUGGGCUAAUACCCUGGAGUCAUGACGGUACCGUAAGAAUAAGCACCGGCUAACUACGUGCCAGCAGCCGCGGUAAUACGUAGGGUGCGAGCGUUAAUCGGAAUCACUGGGCGUAAAGCGUGCGCAGGCGGUUUUGUAAGACAGAGGUGAAAUCCCCGGGCUCAACCUGGGAACUGCCUUUGUGACUACAAAGCUUGAGUGCGGCAGAGGGGGAUGGAAUUCCGCGUGUAGCAGUGAAAUGCGUAGAUAUGCGGAGGAACACCGAUGGCGAAGGCAAUCCCCUGGGCCUGCACUGACGCUCAUGCACGAAAGCGUGGGGAGCAAACA